AGAGAUGUAGCUCAAUGGUAGAACAUCUGCUUUGCAUGCAGAAGGUCCUAGAAGGUCCCCAGCAUCUCCA
rnacentral:tRNA from 1 species